CUGUAGAUUAUGGUGUAAUAUGGUAGCACGGAGAACUUUGAAUUCUUAGGGGUAGGUUCGAUUCCUAUUAUUCUAG
rnacentral:tRNA from 1 species